rnacentral:lncRNA from 1 species
UCUUGCCUUGAAAGCGGGCAGUGGCCAUUUUCUUCUCUCUGCCAAAGCAGGACACGUUAUUUUUAACACAGAAGGCCACAUCACUGUCCCUCACAAAUACUUCAGACAGUUGUCUUCAACAUCCUGUGGUUCUUCGUCCGCAGCUCAGGGGUGAAAACAGGAUGUGGGCAACAAAACAACACAGGAAGGAAACAGCAAGAGGAAAGGGAAGGAAGAAGAUGCAUCCAAGAACUGCUUAGAGUGCAAGGAAUUGGGAAGGAAAGAAAAA